GACGAACGCUGGCGGCGUGCUUAACACAUGCAAGUCGAACGGAAAGGCCCUGCUUUCGUGGGGUGCUCGAGUGGCGAACGGGUGAGUAACACGUGAGUAACCUGCCCUUGACUUUGGGAUAACUUCAGGAAACUGGGGCUAAUACCGGAUAGGAGCUCCUGCUGCAUGGUGGGGGUUGGAAAGUUUCGGCGGUUGGGGAUGGACUCGCGGCUUAUCAGCUUGUUGGUGGGGUAGUGGCUUACCAAGGCUUUGACGGGUAGCCGGCCUGAGAGGGUGACCGGCCACAUUGGGACUGAGAUACGGCCCAGACUCCUACGGGAGGCAGCAGGGGGGAAUAUGGCACAAUGGGCGGAAGCCUGAUGCAGCAACGCCGCGUGCGGGAUGACGGCCUUCGGGUGGUAAACCGCUUUCGCCUGUGACGAAGCGUGAGUGACGGUAAUGGGUAAAGAAGCACCGGCUAACUACGU
rnacentral:rRNA from 1 species